UACAGAGGUCUCAAGCGUUGUUCGGAUUCAUUGGGCGUAAAGGGUGUGUAGGUGGCGCGCUAAGUCGGGUGUGAAAUUUCGGAGCUUAACUCCGAAACUGCAUUCGAUACUGGCGUGCUUGAGGCCGGUAGGGGGAAGUGGAAUUCCCGGUGUAGUGGUGGAAUGCGUAGAUAUCAGGAAGAACACCCGUGGCGAAGGCGGCUCUCUGGGACGGUACUGACGCUGAGACGCGAAAGCGUGGGGAGCGAACAGG
rnacentral:rRNA from 1 species